GAUGAACGCUGGCGGCGUGCCUAAUACAUGCAAGUCGAGCGAACAGACGAGGAGCUUGCUCCUCUGACGUUAGCGGCGGACGGGUGAGUAACACGUGGAUAACCUACCUAUAAGACUGGGAUAACUUCGGGAAACCGGAGCUAAUACCGGAUAAUAUAUUGAACCGCAUGGUUCAAUAGUGAAAGACGGUUUUGCUGUCACUUAUAGAUGGAUCCCGGCCGCAUUAGCUAGUUGGUAAGGUAACGGCUUACCAAGGCGACCAUGCGUAGCCGACCUGAGAGGGUGAUCGGCCACACUGGAACUGAGACACGGUCCAGACUCCUACGGGAGGCAGCAGUAGGGAAUGUUCCGCAAUGGGCGAAAGCCUGACGGAGCAACGCCGCGUGAGUGAUGAAGGUCUUCGGAUCGUAAAACUCUGUUAUUAGGGAAGAACAAAUGUGUAAGUAACUAUGCACGUCUUGACGGUACCUAAUCAGAAAGCCACGGCUAACUACGUG
rnacentral:rRNA from 1 species